CAAUCCUUGAGGACAAUGAAGCAGACCAGAUCCCUGCCCUGAGAGAAAGUUUAUGUUCUGGGAACAAAUGGCAAGGAGUAUCAGUGAGCCCCAGGGGAAAGAGCAGAGGUUGAAAAUGACAGUACCCCAGAGCAUGAAUGGGAACAUCUCAAGCCGGGCGUGGUGGCGCACACGUGUGAUCCCAGCACUCUGGGAGGUGGAGGCCAGCCUGGUCUACAAGGCCUUCUGUUGUCCCAGGAAGGAGAGCCUCUGUUAGCCCCAUACCCCAGGGCACAAGGCCUUGACCAGAAGAGAUGGCUUGGAGCCUUUGCUGUUCGCUGGCCUUGAACUUGACCAGGUCUCUCCAGCAGUGGGUCUCUGACCUCUCUCUCUGCUUCCCUACCUCUGAGAGAGGCAGUUCUUCACCCCCUGCCUCAUGGUUUACAGCCUUGCCACAGGCACAAAAACAAUGAAGCCAGCCAGCCACAGACUAAAACUUCUGAAACCGUGAGCUGAAAGAAGGAUUUCAUCUUUCAAAUUAUUUUUCCCGUUUUUGUUUGUUUGUUUGUUUGCUUGUCACAGAGACUGAAAUUGGUUCCUAGGUCAGCCAGGUCUGCUAUCUGCUGACACUGGUGUU